rnacentral:rRNA from 1 species
UGGGGAAUAUUGCACAAUGGGCGCAAGCCUGAUGCAGCCAUGCCGCGUGUAUGAAGAAGGCCUUCGGGUUGUAAAGUACUUUCAGCGGGGAGGAAGGGAGUAAAGUUAAUACCUUUGCUCAUUGACGUUACCCGCAGAAGAAGCACCGGCUAACUCCGUGCCAGCAGCCGCGGUAAUACGGAGGGUGCAAGCGUUAAUCGGAAUUACUGGGCGUAAAGCGCACGCAGGCGGUUUGUUAAGUCAGAUGUGAAAUCCCCGGGCUCAACCUGGGAACUGCAUCUGAUACUGGCAAGCUUGAGUCUCGUAGAGGGGGGUAGAAUUCCAGGUGUAGCGGUGAAAUGCGUAGAGAUCUGGAGGAAUAGCGGUGGCGAAGGCGGCCCCCUGGACGAAGACUGACGCUCAGGUGCGAAAGCGUGGGGAGCAAACAGG